GUCUGCUGAUCUCAGAAGCUAAGCAAGGUCAGGCCUGGUUAGUACUUGGAUGGGAAACUGCCUGGGAAUAUCAAGUUCUGUAGGCG
rnacentral:rRNA from 1 species